AGAUGACCUGAAAGACCUCUGCCAUUUUUGUGGGGAACAGGACAAUGGAAUUGACUGGAUUACAAAGAACACAAGAGUGUGCUUGAAACAUUUCUCUCCGGAAUGUUUUUUAAGAACAUUAACUGGAAUUAGGAAGCUAAAGGAAGGUUCAGUUCCGUCCGUGUUUACCUGGACUCAGCUGUCUUACAAAAGGAAAACCUUGCGAUCACAAGGAAAAUGUCAUUUAGAGGAAGAACAUGUGGAAGAAUGUGAGGAAGAUGAAAGAUAUGCUGCGAUGAAUGCCCUCGGUGGUUUCACUGCGACUGUAUCAACACACCACCAACGAUAGAGAGCUUCAUCUGCC